UUCCGAUUUUUAAUCUAGUUUUUCUGAGGUUGCAUUUACAAACAUUAGGUAGCGCCUAAAGAAACGGCUCAGCAUCGCUUUUGCUGUUUUAACGUGACUUGUACAGCUACGCCAACAGAAAUAAAGUGCGGGAACUUAAAUGACUGGGCUUCCAGUCAGACAUUUCUCUAACCCCACUGUUCCUUCCCUCUUCCUAUGUUAACAGUUAAUAGUUCCCAUUUGCUUUGGGGAUUUAUUUACUCCUUGUCAACAUAGAAUAUUCCUGGUUUAACCUUAAAAAAAUCCGUAUGACUGUGUUGGAAUAGCAUAUUUCAGUUCUUCAGGGAGGAAAAAGUUGUAUUUCAUCUUGUGGUUGAUUCAAGUUCUCCUCUUGCCAGCACGCCUCAGCCUCGGGCUGGAGUCUGUGGGACGAAGUGAUCACAGGAUUUCAGGUGCCAACAUUGCUACUUUAAGCUUUCACAGGAAGAAAUGUAAAUUUAAAGCAACAGACAGACAAGACUGUGAGCUGCACAGAGAAAAUCUCCAUUCCCAAGAAUGGCUCAUAUCUGACAAGAGACAACCCUACAAAAAGGAAAGGGUCACAGUGACGAUGCUACUAUCCACAGGCACGAUAAGGACAAUUCGUGAUGAAACCAGCUGUAAAAAUCACAUGGUCUUUCUUUAUGAAGAGAAGCUGGGGAGUGAGUUACUUAUCUGCGUUUCUGGUGGAUGCCUGUGCCCAGUCUGUCUAAUUCAGGAUCUUGUCUCCAUGAACGGCCAAAAAACGCUGCCACCUAAGAAGACUCCACAAGCCACGUGGGGGAAAGUGAGCACUAUUGAGCUCCUGUGAAAGCAUCUUUCUAACGUUUUGUUGUAAUCUGUUCCGCAGAAAAUGACAUAAACUAAGCCAGACUUAACGACAUUGUGCUGUUGUAAAAGCAAGCUGUGUAUUAACAGGAGUGUCGUGUUUAAGGCCUGAGAGGUAAUUCUUACACUUGACUUGUCGCUAGUAAGUUCUAGAUCUGCUGGUGUACUCUGUUCAGCACAGCAUGCCAUACCUCAAAAAGACUUGGGCAGGUUGAAAAAAGCCCAGAAAAAUACCAGUCAGAUUAUCAUAGAUCCCAUAACAUGAUUUAGGAGAAGAAACUAAAAGAUGGGGGAAACAGUUAACAGAAGGAAAGACUAUCGAGAAAUGUGAUAACAAAAAUAUAAAUACUUGCCAUGAAGCAGUAAUACUCUACACUCUGGUACUAUAUUGAAAACAAUGAAUUUAUAUGGGCUUAAAAGGCAACAAAGGAGAUACCACACAUUAGAAAGAGCUUUCUACAAUUGAGGUUACUGACAUAUAAGAAUAGGUUGCAUUGCAGUUAUGGCAUAUCUUUUACUGGAGGGUUUUAGGGCAUGUAGACUAACACCUGUCAGGAAUGACAUGGAUAGUUGAUAUGCUCUGGGGAAGGAACAUAAUCAACUAAAUAUGCUCUCUUUGUAUCUUUCACCUCUAAUUUAUGUGAUUCUAUAAUUUUAAUAGCUAGAGACUAGCUCAAACUCUGAAACAAAACACCUUACCUACCAUCCAAACUUCUGUUAGCAUUUGCUUUCGCAAAACUUAUACCCCUAAUUGGUCUAAUCCUUUUCUUAUUUCUGCUUCCAUAGCCUCCAAAAGGCCAUAUUCAGAUUUAGAAUGAACUGACAUCAUGCUUAUCCACACAAAUAACAUUUUACCUAUCCAUCUUGUAGUUCUGUUUAAAUUUGGCCCAAAAAUGAGAGCCUCUUUUUUAUAAAAAUGCAGUACUUGCCUGAGAACCAGAACACUGAUAUAGAUCCCAAUACUAAAGCGUUUCCUUUUUCAUGGGCACUAAAUCUGGAUUUAGGCAGCUUCAGUGACUACUUUUGAGAAAGUGGAACUGCUUUUGAACUAAUUACUGAGAAAUCAGUGAAUCAAUCUGGAAGCAGAUUUUCUUCCAAAAUGCCUUAGAAAAGCUUCCAGAAGACAUUUUAAACAGAAGAUCAGUGGUGCGUUGUUUUAAUCUCACUGAAACGUUCCUACUGAGCUUUUUGGCUCAGUAGGUUUUGCAGCAGUUUCCCUCUACAUAUUCCAAAUCCAGUGCGGAAUAAUCUUUUAAAACAAACUGGGCCCCACUGUCCCGCACUGAGGUUUGCUUGGCAAGGCAGAAGGGGCAGACCACAAGGAAGCUGUCUAUGGGUCUGUCACCUUCUGUCCUGCGUUACCGCAGCUCCGCCUCUGAGCAGGUUGGCAGAGGCUCCAGCCCUACCUCACGCUACCUGGCAACACGCUCCCACCCUCUGACAAUUUGCAAAACUCAGCCGCGCUCCAGCCAGGCCCAGUUCUGUCACAGGCUGCACCUCCAGUGGGCUGACAGGGGGAAUUCCUCCAGAGGAACUCGUAGCUCACCAAACACAGCCAGGGUCAGACUUGCAGCGUGACCAGGGCAGCCACAAAGGGGAUGAACUAUGGAGGAAAAUCUCACUGAAAAUAUUUCAAAAUCAGCACCUAUUUCCACUUCAGUUUUAUGCAUUCUGCAGGUAACAUAAGAGUUCAACAAACUCCUUAUCUGGAAAACAACCUCAGAACAGAAAAUUAACCUUGUUAAGCAAUAGUGUAGUUAUAAAACUUCUAUUUGAUUGCUUGCACAGGUGCUAUGCUACAAUCUUACAUGUCAUCAGCACAUGUCAGCAAAAAUAUGGUGAGAAACUAUAUCAUAAGUACUCAAGUUAAUCCCAUGAUUGUUCUUUACAGGAUAUAAGAAGGGUGGAAGAUCGCAUGUCAUCAUUUCAUUCUUUGUCUUGAUAGUGCUGAGGUGUGAUUAAGCCACAGUGUAACUUAGUAUUUUUCUUCGUCCUUUCCAGGACCACUCAGUUGCCCCAGCAUUGUUAGGUACUCCAGCUAUACAUCCCUGCUGUUCCCAGUACUGCCCUCUGUGUGAGGAGGACCGGGUGCAGUUGUUUCUCAGCUGCCUGUUUAAUUAUUUGAUUCUUGACAAAAGGAACUUGUGCAAGGGCAACGAUUUAGCCUGUACCUUCAGCUAAAUCGGGGACCAAAAAAGAUGUCUCUCCUUUCAGUGCUGGUAAAUAGCAGAUGAAGGCAAAGGCUAUUACAACAUAGUAUUUGCUAAUCUACUUACAGCAGAGUUUCUGGGAACCAAUAGUCAUAUGAGACUAUCAAUUAAAAAGAUAAAUUUCUAAAUUUAUGCAUAAAAUUGACCUAAGUAUACUCUAAAAGAGCCAGCAAAUAAAAUAUGCCAAAAACUAUUUCUGAAGUUACAGUCUUUAAGCCAGCGUCAGCUUUCUGAGUCUGCCUGACAAACAUAAAAUGUUUAGGCACAGAAGGACUGUGAUUAAUGAAAAGGGUUUUUUUAUCAGCAACCGAUCACCAAAUUCACAAGGAAAAGACUGGAUGUGUUUUUCUGUUUUAGCAAAUCUAUAAAGCACCAUCAUCAUUAUAGGCUUAGCUGAGGAGAUAAUUGUAACAUAGAAAUCGAUCGUUCACUAUGGUGAUAUAGGUGUGUGAGUGUAGUAGAGAACAUCUGCACAUGACUCAACUUGUCAGUGGGCUUAUGAAAUGAAUUUCUUCAAUGAGAAGCAUGCCUAUUUUACAAACGUCUAUACAGAUCUCUUUCUUUUCCCCGCUCUGCCCUCAAAGAAAAGGAGCAAAGUCUUUAAGUGUCUGGCUAUAAAGAAGCUGUUUUCCUCUAUGACAUUUUAUAAAUAAUGGCAUGACUUCACUGGACAAGAGACAUUACUAUAGGAAAGGAAAGCACUUUAGCCUGAUAACGGCUUGGCUUACCUUGUUUUCUAGAAGUGCAGCAAUGAUGUCAACGCUAAAGAGUAAAAAAGCUGAAGCCUGUUUCAAACUGUAGCUGAAUACAAGUUUGUGAGAUAUUUAAUGGAACUUGGAAACUACUUAAUUUUUCUCCCCAAGAGUGUAAUAGAGUUAUGAUCAGGAUCUUAAUAGUGUUACUAAAAAACCAGCUACAUCAGUCAGUACAUUUCUUCAAAAGUCAAAGCUAUGCAUAUGUAGUUGUAGUCAUUCCCCAUCAAAUAAUUGCUUUCUGCUUUUCUUGAGGACAGGAACACAAUAAUUUCCUGUUACUUGAUUGUCUCUGACUUCUCCUUUCAGAAUUUACAAUGCAAAGUAAUUGUAAAUCUUGAUGACUAGAAUGUUUUAGAAUUUAAUAAAGAUACAUGCUUUAAUGGGUUUCUUUACUCAGCCAUCAUUUUUAUAAUUGAAAUCAAAAAACCUUUACUCAUCCUAUGAGUUUGCUUAUUUGAUCAUCCAUGAUUGAGUAAAACCUUCCCAAAGAAGCAAUUCAGCACAAGCUGCCCCCACACUUCUGAAGGAAUGAAAGAACAAAAAGAAGUAUCAGUCAGAAACUGGCAAGGAAUCCUGCCCUUGGAGUCUUGCAUCCCUAAACCUGCGUUCUUAAGUGAUUUCAUCUGUCCACAAAGGUUUAUUUAUCACUUACUUUUGACAACUUUCAGUCAUAUUUAUCCAUGCUGGUCCUUUUUUCCUCCAUUUAAUCAUGAAUGCUUUAGAGGUUCUCAGAUCUUUAAUCUUAGCUGAUUCACCACCUUUUCACAUUUGGCUUGACCAAACCUGAUUUUACUGUUCUGCAAUCAUGCUCUUCGGUUUCUCUUCCUCUUUUACAGUGGAUAACACCACUGUCUUUUCUCCAUCACCAAGGCUAAAACAGUACGGUAAGGUCAGUUUUGACUGUUGUCUCCCCUGCCUGAAGAUAAUUGUCAAAUCUUGUCUGCUUUUUUCCCCAUAGAAGUCUAUUCCUUCCUUUUUAACCAAACAUUUGGACUUUUCUUCUCUAUCUUUUUUCCUCCUCUUGGGUCUUUCCUUUGUUAUUUUUCCCCUGUUUUUCCCCUUCAAAAUGCUUGCUGCUAAAAUUGUCAAUCACCUUUCCUAUCUUUUCUUACAGAGAUGCAUGAUCAUCUAGAACUUUGGGUGCAUGUGAAGUAUUACACAGUUAAAUAACAGAACAUUAAAGAUAAGCAGUAAAAAUCAAUCAAAGCAAUAAUACCUCUUCCUAUGUUUCCUCAGACACUUUGAGAACUAUUCAAGUAUCAUCUUAUCGAGGGGAGGAUGAGGGGAGAAAAGUACCAACCUCUUUUUUCCAAAGACAGAAGCUGAUGUACAUAAAUUAUUUACAUCCUUCUAACUGAGACUGCAAUAAUAACCGUAUGCAUAUACACCAUACCAUAAACCAUAUAAUUGCAUGAUGUAUCUGGCACAUUAAUGUUUCUACUCCCACUAUAAUCAACAGCAAUUUCAUCUUGCAAGUUCAUUCUAUAUAAUUGUAGGCUGUGAAUUAGUCUUUCUCACAUUGUUUUGAAGUGUUUUCUGACCAGCCAGUUUGUAUACCUGCAUUCACCUGAAUAUGCUGAGCUAAAGUGUUUGGACGACACCCCCUCUUUGUUUAAAUAUGUGUAUGGCCCAAGUAAUUCAGUUUAGACACCAGGCGGCAUCAUACUAGAAGAAAGGAUGAAGAAGUAACUCAGAAGAAGAAUGAAAAAAACCAAACAAAAAACCUCCAGCAGUGCUCGAGCCGCUUCUUUGUAUUCUGAAAAACUGGGUAAGAUUUUGAUGUAUGACGUUGGCAUUGACACAUGCUUUACUGGCAUUUUGCAGCUAGGACGAAGACACUGAUGCAAAUCAGAGUCUCUCACUGUAUUCACCCAUGGAAACCAGCACAGACCCUGGUCCAGCCAACCAGCCCAAUCAGCCUUCAGUGCAUGACAACACACGGGCAUCAUCAACUCCAGCUGAGAAAACGGGAUCAGCAUCAUUGCACUUGCCUUCAUUGAAACUUGCUGGUGUAUUGCCUUGUGGUCUAUUCAGCAAGCACCCAGAUAACCAGUUUGAUUGCCCUGAAGCCUCACCAAUGCCUUGUGGCCAGAUUGCCAGCCAAAGUUACACGUUGUCACUUCCCAGCUCCCCUCCUUGUUCCCUGUUGUACCCGCAGCUCUUACCUCCUCU